rnacentral:lncRNA from 1 species
GAAAGUAUCAUGGAACACAGCUGAUGGUUGGCAUUGUGAGAGUCCAAGAGUAGCCACUGGUGAAAGUGAAUCCUCGGUUUUGAUAAGCCCUAGAUUUGGAGUGAAGUUAAAACUUGGUAUUAUGCAGCAGGAUUAUUGUCUCUUAAUAAAGAUUAAGAGUGGUGCCUUUUGAAGGUAUAGCUCAGUUACAGGAGAAGAAUUAACAUUUGGGAGAUAUCAGUACCAUGGGACAACAACAAAGAACAGCAGCAGUGGGGAGUGAAACAUCCCUGAGCCUUCAAGCACUUACUGAUCUCUGGCUCUCUGGUUCAACUCAGCUGUUCCAGCUCAAAGCUCCUCUCCAAGGUGGGGAAGUCAUGACUUCUCACCUUUAGUUGGAAUGAUGGAAGAAGAAAAGAAUCCAUUCCCGAGAGGAUGCAGCUGCCUCUCUGAAGGAAGGAUCUUGGAGGAUUUAGAAUAAAGUGUUAACAAACUAAAUGUCUCCGGUAGACUGAGGAACUUAAGACAGAAAAGUUCACUUGCUGAUAAAUCCUGUGGGCCGUCAAGAUCCUUGUAAGUGUGGAAUAAGAAGAUCAGCACACAAACCUCUGUUCCUGUUUACUGCUUUGAGAAUUCAGGGGAACUAUGUUGCAGAUGUCAUACUGGUCUCAACAUUUCUAUUCCUCCCUAUAAAGCCCCUGUAACAGAUGCAAAUCUGUACAGUCUCUACUCCAACAGAAGCUGUUGCCCUGAAUUUUUCUGAUUAAAGAAAAUCUUGAUACCAUUG